rnacentral:rRNA from 1 species
UACGUAGGUGGCAAGCGUUGUUCGGAAUUAUUGGGCGUAAAGAGCUCGUAGGCGGCUUGUCGCGUCGGAUGUGAAAGCCCGGGGCUUAACUCCGGGUCUGCAUUCGAUACGGGCAGGCUAGAGUUCGGUAGGGGAGAUCGGAAUUCCUGGUGUAGCGGUGGAAUGCGCAGAUAUCAGGAGGAACACCGGUGGCGAAGGCGGAUCUCUGGGCCAUAACUGACGCUGAGGAGCGAAAGCAUGGGGAGCGAACAGG